rnacentral:rRNA from 1 species
GGUAGCGGAGAAAUUCCAAUCGAACCCGGAGAUAGCUGGUUCUCCCCGAAAUAGCUUUAGGGCUAGCGUCGAGGUAAGUUGCGUGAAGGUAGAGCACUGAAUAUGUGAUGGCCCCAUCUCGGGGUACUGAGCAUAAUCAAACUGCGAAUGUCACGAUAACAUGCUCGGCAGUCAGACAGCGGGUGAUAAGGUCCGUUGUCAAGAGGGAAACAGCCCAGACCAUCAGCUAAGGUCCCAAAAUGUAUGCUAAGUGGAAAAGGAUGUGGAGAUGUACAGACAACUAGGAGGUUGGCUCAGAAGCAGCCAUCCUUUAAAGAGUGCGUAACAGCUCACUAGUCGAAUGACUCUGCGCCGAUAAUUUACCGGGGCUAAGCAUACUACCGAAGCUAUGGAUCCCAAGGGAUGGUAGGGGAGCGUUCCAUGAACGGAGAAGUACGACCGAAAGGACGUGUGGAGAUCAUGGAAGAGAGAAUGCCGGUGUGAGUAGCGGAACGUGGGUGAGAAUCCCACGCACCGAAAACCCAAGGUUUCCAGAGGAAGGUUCGUCCGCUCUGGGUAAGUCGGGACCUAAGGCGAGGCCGAAAGGCGUAGUCGAUGGACAACAGGUAGAGAUUCCUGUACCCGUAUAUAUGUGAAGGAAUGACGGAGAGAGGAAGCUGCAGCCAGCGGCUGGAAGAGCUGGUGCAAGCGAGAUAUCGGGAUGGCAGGCAAAUCCACCAUCCGAAACGAGAAGGCGUGAAGCGUACGGAAAGCUACGGCGAGUACGGAAGGCAGUGGAGGAACUUCCAAGAAAAGUUUCUAACGUUAAGUAUAUAUGGCCCGUACCGAAAAUGGACACACAUGGGUGAGGAGAGAAUCCUAAGGUGAGCGAGAGAACUAUAGCUAAGGAACUCUGCAAAAUGACUCCGUAACUUAGGGAGAAGGAGUGCUCAUAGAGAUAUGAGCCGCAGUGAAACGGCCCAAGCGACUGUUUACCAAAAACACAGCUCUCUGCUAAGCCGCAAGGCGAAGUAUAGGGGGUGACGCCUGCCCGGUGCUGGAAGGUUAAGGGGAGGGGUUAACGCAAGUGAAGCCCUGAACUGAAGCCCCAGUAAACGGCGGCCGUAACUAUAACGGUCCUAAGGUAGCGAAAUUCCUUGUCAGGUAAGUUCUGACCCGCACGAAAGGCGUAACGAUUUGGGCGCUGUCUCAGCUGUAGACUCGGUGAAGUCUUAGUACCUGUGAAGAUGCAGGUUACCCGCGACUAGACGGAAAGACCCCAUGGAGCUUCACUGCAGGUUGAUAUUGGGAUUUGAUGCAGCAUGUACAGGAUAGGUAGGAGGCAAAGAGAUGGAUACGCCAGUAUUCAAGGAGCCGCUGUUGGGAUACUACCCCUGUUGUAUUGGAUUUCUAACCGGACGACGUAGAGCCGUUGACGGGACAGUGUCAGUCGGGCAGUUUGACUGGGGCGGUCGCCUCCCAAAGAGUAACGGAGGCGCCCAAAGAUACCCUCAGCUUGGAUGGAAACCAAGCGCAGAGUGCAAAGGCAAAAGGGUGUUUGACUGCGAGACCCACAAGUCGAGCAGGGACGAAAGUCGGGCUUAGUGAUCCGGCGGUGCUGAAUGGAAAGGCCGUCGCUCAACGGAUAAAAGCUACCCUGGGGAUAACAGGCUGAUCUCCCCCAAGAGUUCACAUCGACGGGGAGGUUUGGCACCUCGAUGUCGGCUCAUCGCAUCCUGGAGCUGAAGUCGGUUCCAAGGGUUGGGCUGUUCGCCCAUUAAAGCGGUACGCGAGCUGGGUUCAGAACGUCGUGAGACAGUUCGGUCCCUAUCUGUCGUGGGCGCAGGAAAUUUGAGAAGAGCUGUCCUCAGUACGAGAGGACCGGGAUGGACGCAUCAAUGGUGGACCAGUUGUCACGCCAGUGGCAUAGCUGGGUAGCUAAAUGCGGAAGGGAUAAACGCUGAAGGCAUCUAAGUGUGAAACCCACUUCAAGAUGAGAUUUCCCAUUGC